UGGGGAAUAUUGCACAAUGGGCGCAAGCCUGAUGCAGCCAUGCCGCGUGUGUGAAGAAGGCCUUCGGGUUGUAAAGCACUUUCAGCGAGGAGGAAGGGUAGUGUGUUAAUAGCACAUUGCAUUGACGUUACUCGUAGAAGAAGCACCGGCUAACUCCGUGCCAGCAGCCGCGGUAAUACGGAGGGUGCAAGCGUUAAUCGGAAUUACUGGGCGUAAAGCGCACGCAGGCGGUUUGUUAAGUCAGAUGUGAAAUCCCCGCGCUUAACGUGGGAACUGCAUUUGAAACUGGCAAGCUAGAGUCUUGUAGAGGGGGGUAGAAUUCCAGGUGUAGCGGUGAAAUGCGUAGAGAUCUGGAGGAAUACCGGUGGCGAAGGCGGCCCCCUGGACAAAGACUGACGCUCAGGUGCGAAAGCGUGGGGAGCAAACA
rnacentral:rRNA from 1 species